rnacentral:sRNA from 1 species
UUACUGUGAUGAGUUAUGGGCUUGUAGA